rnacentral:rRNA from 1 species
UAUGAGAGUUUGAUCCUGGCUCAGGACGAACGCUGGCGGCGUGCCUAAUACAUGCAAGUCGAACGCUUCUUUUUCCACCGGAGCUUGCUCCACCGGAAAAAGAAGAGUGGCGAACGGGUGAGUAACACGUGGGUAACCUGCCCAUCAGAAGGGGAUAACACUUGGAAACAGGUGCUAAUACCGUAUAACAAUCAAAACCGCAUGGUUUUGAUUUGAAAGGCGCUUUCGGGUGUCGCUGAUGGAUGGACCCGCGGUGCAUUAGCUAGUUGGUGAGGUAACGGCUCACCAAGGCCACGAUGCAUAGCCGACCUGAGAGGGUGAUCGGCCACAUUGGGACUGAGACACGGCCCAAACUCCUACGGGAGGCAGCAGUAGGGAAUCUUCGGCAAUGGACGAAAGUCUGACCGAGCAACGCCGCGUGAGUGAAGAAGGUUUUCGGAUCGUAAAACUCUGUUGUUAGAGAAGAACAAGGAUGAGAGUAACUGUUCAUCCCUUGACGGUAUCUAACCAGAAAGCCACGGCUAACUACGUGCCAGCAGCCGCGGUAAUACGUAGGUGGCAAGCGUUGUCCGGAUUUAUUGGGCGUAAAGCGAGCGCAGGCGGUUUCUUAAGUCUGAUGUGAAA